UACAGAGGUCCCGAGCGUUGUUCGGAUUCACUGGGCGUAAAGGGUGCGUAGGUGGCAUGGUAAGUUUGAUGUGAAAGCUCGGGGCUUAACCCUGAAAUGGCAUUGAAUACUACUGUGCUGGAGGUUUGGAGGGGGGACUGGAAUUCUUGGUGUAGCAGUGAAAUGCGUAGAUAUCAAGAGGAACACCGGUGGCGAAGGCGAGUCCCUGGACAACACCUGACACUGAGGCACGAAAGCUAGGGGAGCAAACAGG
rnacentral:rRNA from 1 species